GAUGAACGCUAGCGGCAGGCUUAAUACAUGCAAGUCGAGGGGCAGCAGGUUUGUAGCAAUACAGAUGCUGGCGACCGGCAAACGGGUGCGGAACACGUACAGAACCUUCCUUCGAGCGGGGAAUAGCCCAGAGAAAUUUGGAUUAAUACCCCAUAGCAUUAUGGAGUGGCAUCACUUUAUAAUUAAAGAUUAUCACUUGAAGAUGGCUGUGCGGCUGAUUAGAUAGUUGGUGAGGUAACGGCUCACCAAGUCUACGAUCAGUAACUGGUGUGAGAGCACGACCAGUCACACGGGCACUGAGACACGGGCCCGACUCCUACGGGAGGCAGCAGUAAGGAAUAUUGGUCAAUGGACGCAAGUCUGAACCAGCCAUG
rnacentral:rRNA from 1 species